rnacentral:rRNA from 1 species
UACGUAGGGUGCAAGCGUUGUCCGGAAUUAUUGGGCGUAAAGAGCUGUAGGCGGUUUGUCGCGUCUGCUGUGAAAAAUUCGGGGCUCACCCCGAACUUGCAGUGGUACGGGGCAGACUAGAGUGUGGUAGGGGAGACUGGAAAAUUUUCCUGGGUGUAGCGGGGUGAAAAUUGCGCAGAUAUCAGGGAGGGAAACACCCGAUGGCGAAAGGGCAGGGUCUCUGGGCCCACUACUGACGCUUUGAGAAAGCGAAAGCAUGGGAGCGAAACAGGG